rnacentral:rRNA from 1 species
GAUGAACGCUGGCGGCGUGCCUAAUACAUGCAAGUCGAGCGAACGGACGAGAAGCUUGCUUCUCUGAUGUUAGCGGCGGACGGGUGAGUAACACGUGGAUAACCUACCUAUAAGACUGGGAUAACUUCGGGAAACCGGAGCUAAUACCGGAUGAUAUUUUGAACCGCAUGGUUCAAAAGUGAAAGACGGUCUUGCUGUCACUUAUAGAUGGAUCCGCGCUGCAUUAGCUAGUUGGUAAGGUAACGGCUUACCAAGGCAACGAUGCAUAGCCGACCUGAGAGGGUGAUCGGCCACACUGGAACUGAGACACGGUCCAGACUCCUACGGGAGGCAGCAGUAGGGAAUCUUCCGCAAUGGGCGAAAGCCUGACGGAGCAACGCCGCGUGAGUGAUGAAGGUCUUCGGAUCGUAAAACUCUGUUAUUAGGGAAGAACAUAUGUGUAAGUAACUGUGCACAUCUUGACGGUACCUAAUUAGAAAGCCACGGCUAACUACGUG